UCGCUGUAGCGCGUAAUGGGGACAAUUAGGGAGUUAAUUCGCGGCUCGCAAGCGGCGUUGCUCCGCUCGGCGUGCAGACAGACGACGGGGCGCAGUGAACCAAGUAAUAGAAGACUUGUCAGUGUCUCCGUCGAGGGAAGAGGUGUGAGACAGCAGGCGACACGCGCUGCAUCGGAGCGAUGACUUCGGCUCGUGGUGUGCGGGAGCUCGGUGGAUUGUCGCAUCGCGGCGCCAACGAGCGGUGGUUGACGCUUAUGCGGGGACCUCAUCCAACGUGUUCGAGAGAACUGCACUGCACGCAGUCAAGGAGAUUUCGUGGAACGACGACUGCUCUUCUGAGGCCUCUUCAAGUGGCUUGUUUGUAUCCACCCACUCGGACAACUGCACUUAUUUUCCAGCAUGCCAUGAUACGAAGAGGACGUGUUCAGUGUGUGACAGUUAAACUACAUUAGUUUGCAUUCUCAGACGUGUGUAUGUUGAACUUCUUUCGCACCGUUCGUAGCCAACCGCGCUAAUCGGAGGUGCGGGGGAAGGACAACAAACUAAACACAAAACGCCGUUCUCAAGAAAUUAAUUUUUAAAUUAGAUUUGAAAAGUGUAUAGCCCCAGUGGCUUCCCGUAUCUGGAAUGCAGCCAAAUGAAGUGAAAUCGCAAUUUUAAUGUCACGUUUUGUGUGUGUGUGUAGUCAUUGGUGACUUGGCAGAGACCAUCACCUCGCUCCACAUGAGAAUCCGGUUUAAUGACGAGCGUCUGAAGCACUGAUUUGAACCAAGGAUCUCGGCUCUGCUGAUGUUGACGCAGUGUGGA